rnacentral:rRNA from 1 species
GGGUUUGAUCCUGGCUCAGGAUGAACGCUGGCGGCGUACCUAACGCAUGCAAGUCGAACGGGGGAUGGAGGAGUAAUCUGACAUUCCUAGUGGCAAACGGGUGAGUAACACGUGGGGAUCUACCGUGGAGUGGGGAAUAACGAGCCGAAAGGUUCGCUAAUACCGCAUGAGUUCGAGAGAACAAAGGUUAAUUCGCAAGAAUUGAUCGCUUUACGGGGAGCCUGCGGUCGAUCAGGUAGUUGGUGAGGUAACGGCUCACCAAGCCGUGGACCGAUAGCUGAUCUGAGAGGAUGACCAGCCACACUGGGACUGUGACACGGCCCAGACUCGGGCGGGAGGCAGCAGCGAGGAAUAUUGCAUAAUGGAGGCAACUCUGAUGCAGUAACGCCGCGUGCGGGACGAAGACCUUCGGGUUGUAAACCGCUUUUGAUACCGACGAGAGAGGAUGGUAGGUGUAGAAUAAGUCUCGGCUAACUACGUGCCAGCAGCCGCGGUAAGACGUAGGAGGCGAGCGUUAUCCGGAUUCACUGGGCGUAAAGCGCAUGUAGGCGGCUGGAAAAGUCCCAUGUGAAAGCCCCUGGCUCAACUGGGGGAGGUCAUUGGAGACUCUUCGGCUUGAGGGCAGCAGAGGCACGUGGAACUCCCGGUGUAGCGGUGGAAUGCGUAGAGAUCGGGAAGAUCACCCGUGGCGAAGGCGACGUGCUGGGCUGCGACUGACGCUGAGAUGCGAAAGUGUGGGGAGCAAACGGGAUUAGAUACCCCGGUAGUCCACACUGUAAACGAUGAACCCUAGGUGUGGGGCGGUCAAACGUUCCGUGCCGAAGCCAACGCGUUAAGGGUUCCGCCUGGGGACUAUGAGCGCAAGCUUAAAACUCAAAGGAAUUGACGGGGGCCCGCACAAGCAGCGGAGCGUGCGGUUCAAUUCGAUGCGACACGAAGAACCUUACCAGGGUUUGACAUGCAGGUGGUAGGGAAGCGAAAGUGGACCGACCCGCAAGGGAGCCUGCACAGGUGAUGCAUGGCUGUCGUCAGCUCGUGCCGUGAGGUGUUGGGUUAAGUCCCGCAACGAGCGCAACCCCUGUUGCCAGUUACAAGUGUCUGGCGAGACUGCCGACGAUUCGUCGGAGGAAGGCGGGGACGACGCCAAGUCAGCAUGUCCUUUAUAUCCUGGGCAACACGCACGCUACAAUGGGUGUCAAUAGAGCGUUGCCAAGUGGAAACACGGAGCAAAUCGCACAAAAGCACCCUCAGUUCAGAUUGACGGCUGCAACCCGCCGUCAUGAAGUCGGAGUUGCUAGUAAACGCGCGUCAGCCAUAGUGCGUUGAAUACGUUCCCGGGCCUUGUACACACCGCCCGUCACGUCAUGGGAGUCGGCAACACCUGAAGUCGGUGACCUAACCGCAAGGAAGGAACUGCCGAAGGUGGGGCUGGUGACUGGGACGAAGUCGUAACAAGGUAGCC